rnacentral:misc_RNA from 1 species
CGCACAGCAGAAACCCUGACCAAAGCAUUCAUUGCUCCAGCCUUUUUGUGGUGGUUAAAUCCAGGUCUCUUUUCUCUGGAAACGUACACCAGACGUGGUAAUUCAUUUCCCUCUUUGUCAAGUCCUCCACUUUGGCCCAGGAAAACCUGAAUCAUCCCAGGAUGAUCACGAACAUUAUUCCCAGGCCAUGGAGUCCCAUCCUGCAUUGUCC